rnacentral:misc_RNA from 1 species
UUUCCGUAGGUGAACCUGCGGAAGGAUCAUUACUGAUUUGGCGGACCGAGCGUUAGCGAGGUUUCGCGAUCACUUAUAUUUAAAACCCACACUUUGAAUGUAUAUUGUAUUUUUUAAAUGAAAUAAAAAAGAUCACUUUCAACAACGGAUCUCUUGGCUCUC